CGCCGGGGCGCCCGCAGGAAGCGGCGGCGGCUGCACGGGCCGUUCGGGGCCGAAGCUCGGGCAGUAACCCCGUGGCGGAACCGGAGAGGGCCAACCCGGCGGGACCGCGCGGGCCGGGGACCAGCCCUCAACCCUCUACGUGGGAAGGCCGCCCGCCGCCCUUCGGGGCUGCCUCAGCCGGGGAACAGCCUUUCCCCGCGCAGGCCGCGGCCUCGCCCCCGCUCCGGGCCUUGCGCUGGGCCGAGGAUUAGCCGCGGCCGCGAUCCCUUCGCUCCGCCACUCACCGCAGGCCGUGCGCUCCCGCUCCCGCCGCCGCCGCCGCCGCGGCUGCCCCCGCCCCUGCCUGCCGGCCGCGGAGGCGCUCAGACAGGCCGGCGCGUGUGGCAGGAGGCGGCUCCCGGGGCCGGCGGUGCUCCGGGCGCUGCGGGCGGAGAAAGGGGCCUCGCCGCGGGAGGACCCGCCUUGGUGUCGGCAGCAUGGCAACGUCCAGCCGGGCCCAGGUGCUGCGGUUGUACCGAGCCCUGCUACGGGAGAGCCAGCGCUUCAGCAGCUAUAACUACAGAACAUAUGCCAUCAGAAGGAUAAGGGAUGCCUUCAGAGAAAACAAGAAUGUAAAGGAUUCUGAAACAAUAGAAGAACUAGUGAAUAAAGCCAAAGCCAACCUAGAGGUUAUUCAUCGGCAGGUUUUAUGUUGGAGAGCCUUGAUAUCCAAUAUUCUUCAGGGAGGUAUUAGAGGCUGGAGAAGACAAUGAAGGAGAGGAUGUCACAAGAGAAGAAUCAGACAUCACUCAGUUUUGAGCUGACAUGUAGAAGAAUGAAGACGUGGUUUUGAAGUAUGACAGCUCUAUUACAAAAGGUUCCAUUAAUAAUGAUAAAUAUGGAAUAUUUACAGCAUUUUUUUGUGUUGGCAGCAUGUUUGAGCCAAGUUGCCAGUGCAGCUGUAUGUAGCCAAAUACUGCACCUUCUUGAGGCAUUCAUUACAAGUGUCUUAGGAGUAUCAUAGAUUCCAGUUACAGUUGAAUGGAAGUGGAGAUGAUGCUGAAUGAAGUUACAUCUACGUGUUCCAGCCAGGAUAAAGCCAACAUUAUGCAGAGAGAGAACUAUUUGUACCUCUCACUUCAUUUAGUCUCUUAAAGCAUGGGAGGAGUUGAUACCUCUUUCACAGAAGAGCAAGGGGCUACAUGACAUUCUUCGUUGUCAAAAGACUGACUCUUUGCUCUCCUAUGACAUCCCAAUAUUUAGCAUGCUAGUGAGACUCUGAAUUCUUGUAGACCAAAUUAUGGAAAGUCAGGUUACUAUUGGCCAGCUGUAUUCCACACAGAAACUGGUUAUUGAGAGUCCAGGAAACACAUAGCUAUGAGAAGACUCUGAUCCCUGAAGCAACACUGGACCAUCUUCAGCAUCCUACAGUGCCACAUACAGAUGCAUCAACUCACUGCACAUGUCUGAGCUUUUCUGUUAAAGCAGAAGAAAUGCCUGAGAGACUCAGUUUUUGGCAACCAAAGUACUAUUUUCUAGUGGUUCACAUGUUCUAAAGUAUAUUGCUGUGAUUUAUAAUAGCAUGGAAGGCAGUCUUGCAAUCUGUGUGCUUGUAUGUCCUAUGUGAUGAAAUAGUUCUUGCCCUUUGAGAAUAAAACUUCAUUCAGCUACCUGUAA